rnacentral:rRNA from 1 species
GACGAACGCUGGCGGCGUGCUUAACACAUGCAAGUCGAACGGAAAGGCCCUGCUUUUGUGGGGUGCUCGAGUGGCGAACGGGUGAGUAACACGUGAGUAACCUGCCCUUGACUUUGGGAUAACUUCAGGAAACUGGGGCUAAUACCGGAUAGGAGCUCCUGCUGCAUGGUGGGGGUUGGAAAGUUUCGGCGGUUGGGGAUGGACUCGCGGCUUAUCAGCUUGUUGGUGGGGUAGUGGCUUACCAAGGCUUUGACGGGUAGCCGGCCUGAGAGGGUGACCGGCCACAUUGGGACUGAGAUACGGCCCAGACUCCUACGGGAGGCAGCAGUGGGGAAUAUUGCACAAUGGGCGGAAGCCUGAUGCAGCAACGCCGCGUGCGGGAUGACGGCCUUCGGGUUGUAAACCGCUUUCGCCUGUGACGAAGCGUGAGUGACGGUAAUGGGUAAAGAAGCACCGGCUAACUACGUGCCAGCAGCCGCGGUGAUACGUAGGGUGCGAGCGUUGUCCGGAUUUAUUGGGCGUAAAGGGCUCGUAGGUGGUUGAUCGCGUCGGAAGUGUAAUCUUGGGGCUUAACCCUGAGCGUGCUUUCGAUACGGGUUGACUUGAGGAAGGUAGGGGAGAAUGGAAUUCCUGGUGGAGCGGUGGAAUGCGCAGAUAUCAGGAGGAACACCAGUGGCGAAGGCGGUUCUCUGGGCCUUUCCUGACGCUGAGGAGCGAAAGCGUGGGGAGCGAACAGGCUUAGAUACCCUGGCAGUCCACGCUGUAAACGGUGGGUACUAGGCGUGGGGUCCAUUCCACGGGUUCCGUGCCGUAGCUAACGCUUUAAGUACCCCGCCUGGGGAGUACGGCCGCAAGGCUAAAACUCAAAGGAAUUGACGGGGCCCCGCACAAGCGGCGGAGCAUGCGGAUUAAUUCGAUGCAACGCGUAGAACCUUACCUGGGUUUGACAUGGAUCGGGAGUGCUCAGAGAUGGGUGUGCCUCUUUUGGGGUCGGUUCACAGGUGGUGCAUGGCUGUCGUCAGCUCGUGUCGUGAGAUGUUGGGUUAAGUCCCGCAACGAGCGCAACCCUUGUUCACUGUUGCCAGCACGUUAUGGUGGGGACUCAGUGGAGACCGCCGGGGUCAACUCGGAGGAAGGUGGGGAUGACGUCAAGUCAUCAUGCCCCUUAUGUCCAGGGCUUCACGCAUGCUACAAUGGCUGGUACAGAGAGUGGCGAGCCUGUGAGGGUGAGCGAAUCUCGGAAAGCCGGUCUCAGUUCGGAUUGGGGUCUGCAACUCGACCUCAUGAAGUCGGAGUCGCUAGUAAUCGCAGAUCAGCAACGCUGCGGUGAAUACGUUCCCGGGGCU